rnacentral:rRNA from 1 species
UGAGGAAUAUUGGUCAAUGGGCGGAAGCCUGAACCAGCCAAGUAGCGUGCAGGAAGACGGCCCUAUGGGUUGUAAACUGCUUUCAGUCGGGAAUAAUUCGUCGGUCGUGACCGACGUUGCAGGUACCGUCAUAAGAAGGACCGGCUAAUUCCGUGCCAGCAGCCGCGGUAAUACGGAAGGUCCGGGCGUUAUCCGGAUUUAUUGGGUUUAAAGGGUGCGCAGGCGGCGCGCCAAGUCAGCAGUCAAAGUUCCGGGCUCAACCCGGUGUCGCCGUUGAAACUGGCGUGCUCGAGUGCGUGCGAGGAAGGCGGAAUGCGUUGUGUAGCGGUGAAAUGCAUAGAUAUGACGCAGAACUCCGAUUGCGAAGGCAGCUUUCCAGCGCGCUACUGACGCUGAGGCACGAAAGCGUGGGGAUCGAACAGGAUUAGAUACCCUGGUAGU